AUGUACUAUGUGCAAAUGAGUGAGUUUUUUUUAAUUUUAUUCACAUUUUUAUUAUGGAUUCUUUUUUUGGUUUUCAUUCCAGCUAACGGUGAGGCCGCAGUCCAGAAGAAUGGAGAGUCCUCUUCUUUAAAGCGUGCGACUGAACCAAAUGAUUUUGUCGUUGUGGAAUUAGACGGUAAAGCUGCUGACGCUCCAGUUAUUUCUGAAAUCCUUGAAAUCGUCAUCCACAAGGAAGAGGUCAGGGAAAGUGAAGGAGAUCAAACGGAUGUUAGUCUCCCUGCCACCAAUCUACAGACGGAGACAGCUAAGCAAAAGCAAGGGUCAGAAUCAUUGACGGAGCCAGAGAGUGUGACUCUAGACUCUGACGAGGGAAACCAGGAGGACAAUAACCCAGAAGAGAAUCCAGUUAUGAACUUCUUCAAAUCUCUAACGACUUCCAAAAUAACCAAAAAGGAAACAGCUGCUCCUGUUGCCAUAAAAGACCAGUCCCAGAAGGAGAACCAACCAGCAGCAACCACUACCGUCGCACAAGUAUCUGAGCCGCCUGCAGCGCCCAAAGGAAUGUCUAUCCCACCGCCACCUCCUCCAGAGCCACCGAAAAUGGAUAUCAAGGCAGAACCAGCUGCUAAACCUGUCAAGGCCACACCAAGAGAAGAAGCAAAAGCUGUUGCCAAGCAACCCCAGUCCUCCAAAGGAAAAUCAGCAACUCUAAGCAAAUUUUUCCGUUCAAAGACAAACAAGGAGUCCCCACCAAAGCCAGACAUUGAAGUAGACGUACAACAAGUUGUAGAAGUAGAGGUAAUCCAGAGAGCAUGCCCAAUCUUCUCAGAUGUAUUCAUGGCUUGCUAAUGUGUUUAAUGCACGAGUGCAGUGGUUCUUGUUUUGAAUCAUCUUAUAAUUAUAAUUGAAAUAAAUAUAAUUGGUUACAUUUGUGGUCAGAAAAUUCGGCCAGAUUAAGUACAUUUCAGCACGUUUCCUUGUCCAUUUUACUUUGCAUCUCAGAAUAAAAAAGUAGCUUUGUUCUGCAGGAGACACCAGUGGAAGCUCCUGAGCCAGUUGUUGUAGAAGUCAAGGUAAAUCGAAGGACAGUUGUUCAUUUGGGGCUUAAGUCUUUUAUAAGGGGUAG
ensembl:lncRNA